rnacentral:rRNA from 1 species
AUUGAACGCUGGCGGCAUGCCUAACACAUGCAAGUCGAGCGGAUGAAGGGAGCUUGCUCCUGGAUUCAGCGGCGGACGGGUGAGUAAUGCCUAUGAAUCUGCCUGGUAGUGGGGGAUAACGUCCGGAAACGGGCGCUAAUACCGCAUACGUCCUGAGGGAGAAAGUGGGGGAUCUUCGGACCUCACGCUAUCAGAUGAGCCUAGGUCGGAUUAGCUAGUUGGUGGGGUAAAGGCCUACCAAGGCGACGAUCCGUAACUGGUCUGAGAGGAUGAUCAGUCACACUGGAACUGAGACACGGUCCAGACUCCUACGGGAGGCAGCAGUGGGGAAUAUUGGACAAUGGGCGAAAGCCUGAUCCAGCAAUGCCGCGUGUGUGAAGAAGGUCUUCGGAUUGUAAAGCACUUUAAGUUGGGAGGAAGGGCAGUAAGUUAAUACCUUGCUGUUUUGACGUUACCAACAGAAUAAGCACCGGCUAACUUCGUG